rnacentral:rRNA from 1 species
GAAUCCAUCCAUCGGUCGGGCCUCACGGUCCGCACUGGUGUGAUGGAUUUCUACCUUCUGAAUAACCAGCAUGUCAUUUAUUUGGUGUUGUGGGGAAUCAGGACUGUUACUUUGAAAAAAUUAGAGUGUUUAAAGCAGGCUCACGCUUGAAUACAUUAGCAUGGAAUAAUGAAAUAGGACGUUUGAUUCUAUUUUGUUGGUUUCUAGGAUCGACGUA